GGCCUCUCUCCCAUGGGGCUGCAGGAGAUCCCUUUUCUCCUCAGCCGGGGCUGGAGGACAAGCUCAGCCCUUGAGGAUCAUUGUGAGGGCUGCCACAAGCUGGCAGCCUUGUUUUCCUGCCUCAGACAUCU